GACUCAUUUACGACCUGCAAAAAAAGCACCAGCAGUAGCAGGCGACUUUAUGUAGAGUAGAUUUGUAUGAAUAUGUUUGUCCCCUUGUCUCACGAACCAGGAGGUGAUCACUACCCAACUUCUUCCGAUCCAAAUCUCCGUUGCCAUGGAAAGGAACGACUAUCAACACACUCAUAGCUUCGCUUCUUCUCACAGAGACGUUACUUACAGGAGUGUUUGAGCUUGUACAAGUUAAUUAGGAUGGAAAGUCAGAGUAGUAGUAGUAGUCAGACAACAUGGUUUACUUAUUUUGUAGCUUUUUUGAGGAAAUGCAUCUUUAUGGUUCUUUCUAGAGGUCCUAUUCCGAGUCACAUUGCGUUCAUUAUGGACGGGAAUCGAAGGUUUUCUAAAAAAAAUAAAUUGAUGGAAGGAGCCGGCCAUAGGGUUGGUUUCUCUGCUCUUAUGUCAAUGCUCAGAUAUUGUUAUGAGUUUCGUGUCAAGUAUGUAACUAUCUUUGCCUUCAGCAUCGAUAACUUUAAUAGAAGGCCGGAAGAAGUUCAGUCGGUUAUGGAUCUCAUGCUGGAGAAAAUUGAAGGGCUUACUAAACAAGAGAGCUUGGUAAACCAAUAUGGGGUUAAGGUUCGGUUUGUAGGAAAUCUUCAACUUCUGAGCAGACCUGUUAGGUUGGCCGCUGAGAGGGCUAUGGUUGCUACGGCUGACAAUUCUAAAGCAGUUCUAACAAUUUGUGUCGCAUACACUUCAACCGAUGAGAUAUUGCAUUCCGUUCAAGAAUCCUGUGAAGAAAAAAAGGAAGAAUUAAGUGCAUUGGAAGCGACUGGUUCUGGUCCAUAUGGCUUGUUAGGACCAAACAGUAACGACAAGGAACAUAAAGAGUGUUUUAUUAAUUCAAAAGAUAUUGAGAAACAUAUGUAUGUUACACCUGAUCCUGACAUCAUAGUUCGUACUUCGGGAGAGACUCGGUUAAGCAAUUUUCUCUUGUGGCAGAGUUCAUCUACUCUUUUGUACUCUCCCUUAGUGCUUUGGCCCGAGAUUCAGUUUUGGCACUUGGUUUGGGCAGUUAUAGACUUUCAGAGGAACUACUUAUAUUUGAUGGGUAAACUAAAGCAGCAAUAAAUAUUCAGGGAACAAGUGAAGGUCUUAAGACAGAUUGGUGAUCAGAUAGAGUCAACAAAUUUUCUUUUCCAAAUCUAUCUUUCUCCAGGGUCGUUAAAUUGUGUUCUACCGAAUUGUAUGUUUAUUGCUUUGGAGCAUUACAAGUGGACUUACACUCGGAUACUAUUCACUUGCAGAGAUCGACAAAGUUGUUGUUAAUGCUUCCCUGUGUUCUUCUGUUUUCAGCUGGUGAUUAAUUAUCCCUCCCCUGUCUUAAGUCUUAGAGCUGAUUCAUCUAGUAAUAUGCUUCGUGACCUUAAGCAACUUGGUGGUCAUAAUGGGUAGUUUCUGUCGGAGCUGCUCUUGCUCCUUUUGAGAAGGAAGAUUCAUGUUCUUAAAAAAUUAAAUACUACUUAAAGUUGAUGUAACAUUGUUGUUUGAAACUGACUCAAAACUUUUAUUUUGUAAAAAAAGUUGAGAAUAUACUUUAUUUAGUUGCAUGAGGUUAUUAUGAUUUGUU